GCCCGGCUAGCUCAGUCGGUAGAGCGGUGGACUCUUAAUCCAACGGUCGUGGGUUCGAGCCCCACGUUGGGCG
rnacentral:tRNA from 1 species